CUCAAGUUUCCAAAGAACACAACAGAUAUGAUUGAAACUUCCACUUCAAUGAUCAAACUCACUAUCACAACUUUCAGUUCAAAAACAACAUCAUCUUCAACAACUACAAUGGCUACAACUACAAUAAAACAUUCAGAACCAGCCUUGCUGUCCACUAGCCACACAGCUACAUCCAUACUAACCAAUGCUGCGUCAAUACUUGGAAAUGUCA